rnacentral:lncRNA from 1 species
AGGAGCUGGCCCAGUGGCCCAGACCGGCCUGGGGGCGGGGGGAAGCGGAGCCCUCUGGGGUGUGGGGACGGGGGCCGAGGGCGGGUGGCGGCGGCUUGCGGAGGGGCGGGAGCAGAGGUGUGGGGAGGAGGAGGAGGAGGAGGGGGAAGGCGGCGGCAGCCGGCCGCUGCAUAAAAAGAGCGGGCGCGGCGGAGCCCGGCGCAUCCUUCUCGCCCGCAGCCACGGCGGCCGGAGCAGCAGCAGCAGCGGGGCCCGCGGUGGGACAGCAGCGGACGGGCAUGGGGACGGCGCUGGCGGCGCGGCUGGGCUUGGGGCUCUUGCUCCUGGCUCUCCUCCUACCCACGCAGAUCUACUGCAAUCCCAAUGGAACAAAUCCAACACCUUCAAACAAUUCAAGUUCCGUUUCUCUGUCAACUGUCACAAAUUCAGUGAACAAUGCCACCACUCACGGACAUGGAAAUUCUCUUCACUCAACCACAAGUCUUCUUUUCAUUCUCUCAGUUUCUCUUCUGUAUUUUUGCUGUUAAGAGACUCUGGCAUGGAAAUGGCUACCACUCCCUGCCCAGUUUCCUGAACCAUCUGAGAUGACUAGAUCUCUGACCCAGCAUGAAAAUCAAUCAGUCCAAACUCUACAUCAAACCAGCUUGGUUCCACUUAUACUCAAAUUAGUACCAGUCUGACCUAGAGAAGUACUCAGUAUUCUGACUUUCCAAAGCUGACCAGUAUGAAAAGACUGACUUCAGCAAGGAGGUAAAACGAUGAGCUCUUUCACCAAAUGAGUUGGAAUUUGAAAAACAAGAUGGAAGCAAAAUGAAACAGUAUUGGCAACCCCUGAUUUAAAGCUGAGAAGAAAUGCAGUGUCUUAUAACAUGGAUGGAUGAUAACACUCCACCAAGAAAAAGGCUAGAGGGUUUAUCUACCAUUUAGAGUAAGGGCUUGAAGAGUUUGUAUUUUCCAUUUAAAUUUAUUAAAGUUAACAGGCUCAUAGAACCACUAGAAAGCACAGAAAAGCUUGAGUGGUCUGUUUCUUGCACAGCCCAUAUGGUUAUAACCUAUGGGUAGUGUAUACGAAAGAAAGAAAAUAUCAGUGAAAACGGUUUCUCCUAGAUUUUAUUUGCAUGAAAUUGUUAUAAGGCUAAAAUAGAAUACCAAAUUUUUGUAAGAAUCCUCUUAUUUGACUUCUGAGUCCUUACCAAAUGGCUACCCAGGCAGGACUAGUUUUGAAAUAGCUAAAAACCACCAGCUCUCAUAAGAGUGGAAUUAUGUACAGUGGGAAUUUGAAUUUGACAUUUUAUUUAAAUUGUUUGUAUAUUAAACCGUAUGUGCCAGAGGACAGAGGUGUAGAAACAUUGGGAAAAUUACCAGGAGCUUUUUGCAAAUGAAGUUCAGACAAAAAAAAAAAGUCAAGGGAUAAAUGUCUCCUCUUUCCCCUAUUUCUCCUCCUGUGUUCUACAAGUUGUAUAAGUUCUUUUUGCUCCUGGAACUUUCCUUAAUUAUGAAGGACUUAUGGAAUCUUUUGGGUAAUGUUCUAGUGCUGCUUUUUUUUUUCUUUUUGGCACAAGGUGAAUAACUUACUGUUUGGUGGUUUGUUUUUUUUUUUUUUGAAGAGUUUUAAUUGUGAUAGUUUACUUUAAACAUGGGCUGAUAUUUGCGGUGGGGAGAAGGAGUGGAGAGAGGAGAGCAAAACGCCAAAAAUAAGAAAUUAAUUGAUAAGGUGUUUGGAAUAUGAAGACUGGAGUCUUAAUUUAAUCACUGAAUUUAAAAGUUACCUUUGUAAAUACUACUUUUUAAAAAUUUUCUGAAUCAAAAUUGCUAUACUUGCACAGAUUGUUUCUGUAUCAUCCAACACUUUAGAUACUAUUAUCUGGUACUUCAUCAAAACAAGCUUUGUUGAGGAGGUUCAACUACCUUGAUGAUAAUACCUUGUCAGAAAAAAAAAUAUAAAUGUUGAUAUAACCACAUGUGAGUAUACAUGAUCGUUAUCACUGUGUAUAGAUAUUUAUCUCAGUAUAAGAUCAUGUCAAACAUGAGGGGCUCUCUAUUUUUUUUUAAAUACACAUCUGUCUUUCAGUUACAUUACCACCAAUCCAGAGUAUCAUAUAUUAAUAGCAAACUAACACAAGUUCAUGUCAGUGAGUGUACAUGGACAUUUCCUUAUGCUUAUCAUUUGUAUCCAGUAAAAUGUUAAUGAUUGUAUUUUUGUGUUUGUGUAACUACGCUUUGAUUUAUUAGCUACUGAUUUUCAUUGGGAAAAACCUGUAAAUAAAAUGGUGGACAGGCAAUGCA